GCACCGCCGAGUAGUCCCAUAAUAGGACGAAACGGCCGUCCAGUGC
rfam:Schistosoma mansoni strain Puerto Rico chromosome 5, complete genome